GAUGAACGCUGGCGGCGUGCCUAAUACAUGCAAGUCGAGCGAACAGACGAGGAGCUUGCUCCUCUGACGUUAGCGGCGGACGGGUGAGUAACACGUGGAUGACCUACCUAUAAGACUGGGAUAACUUCGGGAAACCGGAGCUAAUACCGGAUAAUAUAUUGAACCGCAUGGUUCAAUAGUGAAAGACGGUUUUGCUGUCACUUAUAGAUGGAUCCGCGCCGCAUUAGCUAGUUGGUAAGGUAACGGCUUACCAAGGCAACGAUGCGUAGCCGACCUGAGAGGGUGAUCGGCCACACGGGAACUGAGACACGGUCCAGACUCCUACGGGAGGCAGCAGUAGGGAAUCUUCCGCAAUGGGCGAAAGCCUGACGGAGCAACGCCGCGUGAGUGAUGAAGGUCUUCGGAUCGUAAAACUCUGUUAUUAGGGAAGAACAAAUGUGUAAGUAACUAUGCACGUCUUGACGGUACCUAAUCAGAAAGCCACGGCUAACUACGUG
rnacentral:rRNA from 1 species